AGUCCUGUGGUGAAGUUCAUGUUAGAUUGCAAAUCUGAAGAUAUACUUUAGUAAUAGUAUCGGGGCUU
rnacentral:tRNA from 2 species